UAUCCGUUGGUGAACCAGCGGAGGGAUCAUUAAAGAGUUGCAAAACUCCCAAACCAUUGUGAACAUACCUUCAACGUUGCUUCGGCGGGUUGGCCCCGGUCUCCGGGGUCCCCGGCCCUCACGGGCGCCCGCCGGAGGUACCUAACUCUUGAACUGGGAUGGCCUCUCUGAGGCUUGGUACUUAAUAAGUCAAAACGUUCAACGACGGAUCUCGGGGUUCUGGCAUCGAGGAAGAACGCAGC
rnacentral:misc_RNA from 1 species